GAGUGGCAGUCGUGGGAGCUACCCAACCGAGUAUGCAGCGUAUCUCUGUCGAGCUCAAUCAGGCGCUAAUAAGCCAAAGUUAAGAAGCUAGGGUCAAAACUGGUCUAGAAAUCAAAUCCACGUGCCCUCGACAUAAUUUGAGACCAAAAACAGGACUCUAGGUCCACCGUCCACCCCGACGGUACCCAACAACCCGAAACAGCCUAGACUCUGCUGUAAAAAUAAGCUCGGCGCCCCAGCACGAGUGUAAAUGUAUUUUAAACUACCCCGGGUAUCCACCGCGCUGAAACAGCGGUAAUACAAUCAAACCACGGCUCCUAGAGCUAAAUCAGGUAGCAGAAUUAUAUGACGGGUCAAAAUGCGGGUUUUCUCCUAAGUCAAUUUCCAAGUCCAAUAUGUAUAUUUUGCAAAUUAAGAAUCAUGCUCCAAAUUCAGAUUUCAUACAUUAUACUAUUCGAUGAAUUUGAGCUACAACAUGUUAUACCGAAGUCGAACUAUACAUGUUUACUUUACACAUGCUUAGGAGCAAAACCGAUAAGAAACCCACCUUAAUUGCUAAUCCCUGGCAGCAAGGAAGUCUCAAAGGUGCAAGAUCUCGCAGCUAAACCUCAUCUCAGCCAGCAACGAUCCACAAUUCCGAUCUAAGCACCAAAAAUCACUGAUUCCAUCAUUACAACUAUAAUAUCAGCACUUAAGCUUAAUUAACCACACUCCAAUGUCAAAACUCACCUAAUAACCUCCAAUUCAGGUGAGGACAGUCCCAAAUCCAAUGGAGUAUACUGGAGAAUAAUUCUCAAGUCCCAAAUUCUCCUGCUUCCAAAGAUAGCAUCAAGAAAAGCUCAAAAUCUACAAUUCUGUCCAAAUACAAUAACAGCAGAGUAAAACUUGAGUUCGACCAAGCUAACCUCAACCAAAUUCUGCAAUUCAGGGCUUCGUGGAUUCCUCUGGCAGUCUAGAAUCCAGCAAACUAAGUUUCACCGCGAUCCGACCUUUCUACGUCGCACACGAACCAAAACACUGGAGGUCGUCGCUGAAAAACUGCAGAAUCUGCACCUAUCAAGCUUGGAGUUGUGGAUCUUGAAGCAAUUUGAGUGAUUUGGAGGGGUUGGAAUGCAAAAUAGAGGAUCACUGUGAAGAAGAGAGGAAAAGAGCUCACCAAGGACGCUCCUCAGCUAUUUAUAGGGUGAACAUAUGGUCAGAUGAACCUCAGGAACAAAGGCUGCAAUCUGCUACACUUGCAGAAAUAGCCACUUUCGGGCGCCCAAAAUCCAUUUCUGGGCAUCCGAAACCUCCAGGCUGCACAUUUGCUCCCCUUUGGUUCCAUCGCCCGUGGUGUGCUGCGCCCGUAAACGGCUCCGGCGGACCUCACCUACUACCAGCCACAUGUCAACACAAUCGAUACUCACGAGGUGAACUUUCGGACCCUCAUCCGGGCGCCCGAAACAUGGACCCGAAUUCGCUUCCAGUUAUGAUCAAUUCUGCAUUGAACUUCUGGGCGACCCAAGACCAGUUCUGGGCGUCCGAAUCUAGCAAAAUUCCAGUUUUGCUUAAUUAAGUGCACCGAGUCCAUUUCUGCAUCCAUUUCGUGCAGAAACAACUCUGACUCAGUCCGACACUCUCCAGAUGUGUCGACCAGUCACUAACACUGAAACCAAUCCUAUCCAAAGUGUAGAAACAGUACAGUAUAGAAUUUAUCUGAAACAUGAGCCAUUUCGCGAAGCGCCCUGCGAUCGCCUCGGCAUUUCGUUGAACAGGGCGCGAGCUCUCAAAGCAUAAAAUUUUAAUUAAGCAAUAGAUUGCAAGAGCAAGCAUAGCAAAAUCAAAAAAAUUUGAUAGUGGAGAGAGAAUCAGAGAAAAGACUCUAGUAGGUAUUGCAUCAAACAUAUGAGGGGCGCAGCAAAACGGACAAUUUUUGGAGCUCCCCUUGCUCCACUCAGUAGAGAGAGAUAGAGAGAGAGAGAGAGGCGACAGAAAGCAAGCCAUAGAAUUGGGCGAGGAAGUUUCGGCGGCGGCGGGGAUGGGGAGGGGUGGAAGGAGGCAUACCGUAGCAGGGGGACAAAGGUUCGGGGUUUGCAGGAGCUGCGGGGAGAAGCGCGACCCUCCGCGUUGGACGCAGGAGGAGGUCAGGGUAGGGCCCGACAAACACCCGACAUGGGGGGGCCCGGAUCGGAGAGAGGAGGAGGUGGGGGCCCGGGUCGGAGAGGCUUGCCAUCUGCGGGCGACCCGCACCACCCGCGCGCAGAGAGAGAGAGAGAGAGAGAGAGAGAGAGAGAGAGAGCCGGGGGGGCCCUGCCAUGUGAGCAGCGCUUCGCGCGCCCGCGCCCGCUCGAGGAGAAACGACAGAGAGGAGGGGGCGCUGCGGAGGCGACACGUAGGCGCCCGCCCCGCGCCGGACGCCAGCCGCUGCCGCCCGCUGUGGGGUCCUGCACAUGUGACUGCCGCUGCCGCCCACCCCGCCGUGGGGGCCACCGAAGCCCCCGCCAAACGCGGGGAUGCUUCGAAGGGGCGAGAGAGGAGCGGGGGGCUGAGGAGGUGACAUGUAGGGCACAGUAGAACUCAAGAAUUAUUAUUUCUAUAGAUUACGUAGACACAUCAAACAAUGUGUAAUUUGGAUAACUCUGAAAAAAACUGAUUUAAUGGGAAAAACAUAUGAAGAAGGACAUAUGAAGAAGGACCAGUUCAAUAGAAAUGAGUUUGCAGAGGCAUAAGAUAACAAGAGAUCGCCACGGGGAUUCUCAAACAUGGGGAUUAAUAAGGCUACUAUUAUUAUAUAUAGAUUAUAAAGAUAGAUAUAUAGAUAUAGAUAUUUAGAAUAUUUUUAGCCCUUGUUUGGUUGGGGGUUAAGGGGUGGAAUAACCCCUUAACCCCCAUUUUAUCCCCAAACAUCCCAAAAUAUAGGUGGGGUUAGCUAACCCCACUUAACCCCACCUCAAAUAAAUUAUUCCGGAUUAGCUAACCCCACCUAACCCCACCAAACUCCAACCAAACACUAUUUUCUAUUCAUAAUAACCCACUAUCUUUUUUAUCACACCUACUCCAAUCAAUCAUUAUCUUCUUAUCCCACCUACCCAACCAAACACUAUUUUUCAUUAUUCUAAACUAACUCCAACCCCAACCAAACACAAAAAAACUUUAACCCCGCUUUAACCCUAAACUUAACUCUAUUCCUGGAAUAGCUACUUUUUUCUUAACUCCGAACCAAACGGCGGCUUAGAGCUUACAUUUUACUUGGUACACCAUUAAUCGCCCUUCGAAGGAUGUGUUUUUUUGGUCAACGCACAUCACUCUUUCAUUUCUGAUGCACCUAAUGCACUAAAGCUCAUGAAUUUUGAUAUACAGAGGGAGGAUAUAAUAAAUAAAUAAAUAAAUAAAUAAAAUUUUAUAGCAUAGUGCUUCAAGAAAGUAGCCAUUACGCCGGACUAUUUUGACGCUUUGGCCCCCAACGACUUUUCAUCCCACUCUUCGCUCGGAGGGAACAGAAGUCUUACUCGCUCCGUCUCUCCACUCCAUGGCUACCUCAGGUUCCUCCUCCGCCUCCUCCUCCUCCUCCUCUCCUAUGACGUCCUCGGUAAGCGUGAACGAGGUCGUGAGCGGGUCCCACCUGUUCAAGAUCACCGGCUACUCCCUUACCAAGGGGAUCGGCGUCGGCGAGCCCAUCGCCUCCGCCGUCUUCACCGUCGGCGGCUACGACUGGGCCAUCGAGUACUACCCCGACGGCUGCAAGGCCGACGACGCCGACUACAUCUCCUUUUUUCUCGCCCUCCAAAGCUACCACACCGACGUCCAGAUCUACUGGGCGAUCAAAUUGCUCGACCCCGCGGAGAUGCCGCCGUCCGCAGUCCCGGUGGGCGGAAGCUUGUACACAUUCGACUCAAGCGGCAGAAACUGGGGCUACGGGCGCUUCUUCAAGAGAGCCGAGUUGGAGGAAUCGCGUUAUCUGAAAGACGAUUGCUUCGCAGUUAUGUGCACCAUUCACAUCAAGAUGUCGCGGGUCGAGCGGGUGCCUUAUGCUCACCCGUCGGCCGCGGCGGCGGCGCCGCCGAUCGAGUUGCACGACCACCUCGGCCGGCUCUUGGAGAGGGGAGAGGGGGCCGACGUAACCUUCGAAGUCGGCGGGGAGACUUUCGCCGCCCACCGCUGCGUGCUCGCCGCCCGCUCCCCUGUUUUCAGUGCUCAAUUUUUCGGCCCCUUGAGCGAAAAGAGCACGCAGUGCGUAAAGAUCGAAGAUAUGGAAGCUGCGGCUUUUAGGGCUUUGCUUCACUUCAUAUACCGGGACUCGUUGCCGGAGGAUGGUGAGGAGCCUAAGAAGGCUUCGACUGCAAUGGCGCAGCAUUUGCUCGCGGCCGCAGACCGGUAUGGGUUGGAGAGGCUGAAGCUAAUAUGUGAAGAUAGGUUAUGCAAUAGCAUCGAUGCCGACACGGCGGCUACCAGUUUGGCCUUGGCGGAGCAGCACGGCUGUCUCCGGCUUAAGAAAGUGUGCCUUGAAUUUGCAGUCGUGCCGGAAAAUCUGAUAAGUAUGGUGCUAACUGAAGGGUUUGAGCAUCUGAGGAUGAGUUGUCCCUCGGUUUUGGAGGAUCUCAGAAUGAAGACGACCCGGCACUCUGGUAAGUUUUAAAUUAGCAAAGACAAGAUCCGUUAUAUGUUGUUUUCAUUUCUUUCAAUUAUUGUCCUCAAUGAUAUACUGAUAUAUUUUGGAAGAUAAAUAAGACGAAAUGUCGAUUUAGAGCCAAUUUAUGCAAAUAUAAAUUUAAUCAGUUGGCUCCUUGUAAUAAAAAGAAGUAAAAGGUCUUGGUUGUUUGUGUUAACAUUCCGCUAAUGAAAAACUGGAAUCCUAGGAAGACGUUAAAAGGGUAUGCUUCAUUCAUGAUUCCAAUAGGAAUGGGAAGUGGGAUUAGAUUGUAUUGGAAUGGAAAAUGGAAUGAUGAAUUAUCCAAAAAUAUUUGGUUUAUUAUUGGAAUGGAAAUCAUAAUGAACAUUCAGGAUUUUGGGAGAGGGUGUUGGUUAAAAAAGAUGAGAGUGAUGACUGAUGAAGGGAGAGAAAGGGGAAGUGUUUGUGAGAGAGGGCUUUGAGUGGUUUACUUUUGAAUGGGCUAAUCUGGAAUUCAAAGCUAGAUUGGACCAUAAAUGCAUUAAGGCUAUUCCCAUUCCAGAGUAGAAUGGGAAUCAAAGUCCGAUUCAUGUAAAACAAACAACAACUAUUAGAAUCAAUGAAUCUCAUUCCGAUUCUAUAACCUAAAAUAGGUGGACCAAACGAGCCUUGAAACUGCAAGAUUGUUACCAUAGUUUGAAAAGGGCACGCGCCUCGGCGCCUAGCGUGGGCCUCAGCGCCACAGCAAUAGGGAGGCGCAGCGCUAUUGUUGAGGCGCGCGCCUAGGGCCUGAGGCACGCGCCUCAUGCGAGUUGCGAGGCGCUCCUGAGGCACGCGCCUCGCAAUAUUUAAGUUUACAAGAAUUUUUUAUUCAAGUUUUCGAGUUGUCGGGUUUUGAAUUUGCAUCUUAUACUUUACCCCGAUAAGAUACUUAAAAAAUCUUAAAAGAAAUUUUAAAAAAUUCAAGUUUUCGGAUUGUCGGGUUUUGAAUUUGCAUUUUAUACUUUAAACUCGAUAAGAUACUUAAAAAUCUUGAAAGAUACCCAAAAUACCACUAAAAAAAUCAGCCGCUUGCCCCUUCUCCGUCUCUUAUUCUCUCACAUCCUCUCCCUGUCGAGCAUCCAGCAGCAGCUGUGCUGUCAGCAGGAAGCAGCGGCAGGAAACCGGCGGUGGCUAGAACAAGCAACCAGCAGCAGUGGCAGCAGGAAAACAAGUAGUAGCAGCGAAAACAACAGCAGUGUCAGCAAGUACAUCAAAUUAAACUAUAUGCAUGUGUUUUCUUUACUUUUUGAUGGUUAUUUUGGGGUUUUUUAAUAUAUAACAUCAAAUUAAAUUAACUUUAGUAAAUGUGCGCCUCGCCUUCUUGAGGUGCCCGCCUUGCAGUGCGCCUCUCCGCGCCUCGCGUCUAUGCAAACACUGAUUGUUACACAAGUAUAUAUUUGUUGUGGCAAGAUAAGGAUAAAAGUAGAAUUAGUGAGGAUGGAGGUAUUGUAAACAAUGGAAGUAUUUUUAUGGUGUAUAAUUUGUUAGCAAUGUAACCCACAAGAUUACAGAGAAAUCUUUUCAGAACAACUUGAAUCACACAUAUCAUGCUUUUGAAGUGAACUUGUACUCAUGUUUUUUAUAUGCUGUUUCUAAUUUUGUGAACUUGUGUAUAGCCAAUUAGCAACUAGGUUAUUUAUUUACAAAGCUAUGAUGCAUAGAUACUCUAGAUGCAUCCUUACCAGAUACUGUAUCCAGUAUGAUACUUACUAAAAUACUUCAUAGAUAGCCUCAGAUAUGUGUCUGUAUUAAAGGAGUGUAGCAAUAGUAAUAUUGCUUUGAUAUAGAAGAAGGUAGGAUGGUCCAGACUCUAUACUAGGAGGAUGUCAUCUUUUCAUCAAUUCAAAGUAAAAAUAUGAUCGUGUUAAGCAUCAAAACUAAUUUAAUUUAUUUAAAGACGGAACAAAUAUUAUCUAAUUAAUAGAGCUUGGUCUUAUCUAGGAGUUAGUUAUAGGCUCCCGGUUAUACUAUAAAUUAUAUCCAUUCAUAGUAUGAGUAAGGUAAAAUGGAAGAUAGUUUUACAAAGUAUAGCUUCCUAAAAGAGCCAAUAGUUGAUGUUGAGAUGCUGGCGACAACAACUUUCUUGUACAGGUCAGUAUUUGAAGAUAGAGUAAGGAAUCUGACUUGUGUAACCUAAAAUAUCUAUCAAAAUCUUGAUUUAAUUCCUAUAUGUGGGGUUCAUAGUUGUUCCCAACAGCCUACGUCUAUUAGGCUAUGAGUUACAUAUUCCUGAGAGUUUACAGUAAAAACUUUUAUGUAUUCAGUCAACAUUUGCAUGGUAUGAAGUAUAGGAUGAAUGCCUUUAAAGUGCUUAUACUAUUUUGGAGAAGAAUUUAUGUUAUCUUUUGGAUCUAACUGCAGCUUUCAAAAUCUCUCACCGGUUUAUAUGCACUUCUCAAGUUUGAUGUACAGAGUCUGUUGCAUAAAAGAUGUUUCUUGAACUUCUGAUAAUAUUUAAGUAUCCUGAAUUGUUGAAUCUUCAUCGCUAGAGAGAAUUAAGUGCUGUGGAAUUUGUCACAGAGGACUAGUCUAACCUUGUUUGAUAUCUAACUAUUACUAAUUCUCAAUGAGGAUGGAUUGAUUUGGUUCACAAUUUGCUAAAUUAUAUUCUUGUCCAUAAUUUUCGUAUGAACAUGAAUUAGUUUCUGGGUAGUUAGUGAAUAUAUAUCUUGUUGCUAUAUUUGCUAAAAGUGGUAUCUAACAGAUUCUUACCAGAUUUAGACGGAUUUGAAUAUGAAUAGACUUCAAGUCUGCAGGGGUAUUGCUCAAUAAGAUGCACGCAUAGUAUAAAGUAGUCAUCUAUAAAUAUUUGUUAAAUGUUAGUAAUUUAGUGAUAAGUCUUUAUGUCCUUUAACAAAUAUUCUUAGAAAUGUUCCUUCUUUUGUUUGGUUAGUUGUGGAUUCAUAUUCAGUUUAACCGUUUAUGUUUGGGUCAUUAGCGAUUAUUGCUAUCCUGACACAUUUGAUGUGGACAUUGUAUUAAUAACUACGCAAUUUGAUGAAACUUGUGAUUGCACCUAUGUUCUUUUGUUAUUAAAAAUUGUAUUAUGACGUAACAAGUUUAUGAAAGGAGUUUGUUAUUUGUGGCUACCAUAUAGUGGAUGUUGACUUCUUGUGUACCUUUUCAUGCAAUUAGUAAUUUAUCUUAGGCGGUGUUUGGUUGUCUGUAAAAACACUCCGAAAAUUUUUUUUCGCUUGAAAAGUGGUUUUCCCUUGUUUGGUUGCUCGUAAAAGAAGUUGCCGGAAAAUUUUUUUUACGGAAUCUACGUAAAAAACCAAGUUUUGGUUUUCCGCCCACCGCGGGCGAAAAACGAAAAACUUGAUCCCAAAACGCGCGGCUCACAGCGCUGAAAAAAACGCGGUCCACGAGAAAGCCUGAUUCUCGUGGACUGCGUGAGUGGUCCAACUGCGUGAGUGGUCCAACUGUGGACCACUCACCAACUCUUUCUCUCUUAUNUGGUAAAAAAUUAUUAUACAUAUUUAUAAAUAUAUAUAUUUAUUAUAUAUAUAGUAUUUUAUUUUUAUAUAGAAAUAUUAUUAUAUAUUAUUUUAUUUAUAAAUUUGUAAUUAUUUAUUAAUAUCUCUAAAUAUAUAAUUCUUAUAUAUAUAUGAUGUAAUAUGUUCAUUAUAAUUUUAAAUAUAUUUAAUUUGUAUAUAUAGAUUAUAAUAAUAAUUUAUAAUAUUAUGUUCAUUAUAAUUUUACAUACUAUGAUGUAAUAUGUAAUUAUAUAUAUUUAUUAUAUAUAUAAUAUUUUAUUUAUAAAUUUGUAAUUAUUUAUUAAUAUUUUUAAAUAUAUUAUAUAUGAUGUAACAUAUUUAUUAUAAUUUUAAAUAUAUUUAAUCUGUAUAUAAAAAUUAUAAUAAUAUAUAAAAUAUAUUAAUUAUUAUAUAUUAAUAAUAUAUAAUAAAAAAUAUUAAAUAGUUUUUCAUCUAUUCUUUUUUCUUCCAACCAAACAACCGUCAUGGAAAACUAUUUUUCUUUUCCUACAAAUCAAACACUAACGACGUAAAACCAUUUUUCCACCGAAAAUUUUUUUUCCACAGUUUUACGUGGAACCAAACACACCCUUAGCAAUUAUUGUGGAUGUUGAAUUCUUGCGUACCUUUUCAUACAAUUAGUAAUUUGUUUUACAAUUAAUUGUCACUUGCAUGACCUUCACAUUUACAGACCAUCUUCUUUCAGCACAACAAAAUGUGAAAAAACCUACUUCUCUGACAACUCAAGCUGUUACAGAGCUAUGCUUAAUAUAAUGGGAGCUACAAAUUUAGUUUCUGACAAUUUUAGUUGUCCUCAGAUCUUCAAUUUUAAUAAUUUAAUCCUCGAAGCUUUUUCCAUGUAGCUAUCAAGUGCGUCACGUAAUCUAAGGGCUUAGAAAACAACAAAGCUGCAUUAUUGUUGCAGUUUAAAUGUUAAAAAACCACCAUACAUAUCAACAGAGCUAACAAUGGAGUUAUGAGACACCUUUUUUGGAGGGCAACGUAAUGAAAGGACUUGUUAUAUAGGACAAUUUAUAGGGACUUUAUUGUCAGAAACAUAAUAGAAGUGGGUAAUUAAGAUUGCAGCAUCUUAUAGUCAACACUUUGAUGUCUAGGCUCUCAAAUUUAUUAUGUCCAAAAGUUUGGGUAUGAAUUAAAUAGUUUGAAGUUUAUAUUGUUCUCUCUCUCUCUCUCUCUUUGAGGUUUAUAUUGUUCUCUCUCUCUCUCUCUCUCUCUCUCUGUUUUAUUUUUGAAUGGAUGUUGUUCUCAAUCUAACGGCAGUAGCUCAGAGGGGUUUGGGCUUAGGACAUUUUCUUGCACCUAUUAAUCUAUUAUGUGCAAUGUGAAAUAAGAGGGUGAAGUUUUUCUGUUGGCAAAAUAAAAGGCCUCAUGUGAUUGAAAACUCUGGAGCCUUUGUUUUUAUUCCAUGUGAAAACAUUUGUUGUCUAAAACUCGACUAUUCUUUUUGUUGUCGUAGGAAUACAUUGGUCAUUUCAGGCAUUGUUAUCCCGCAGUGAUAAUGUUUGCAAUCAGUUUGCAUCGAUAUAAUUCUUUUUCAACUCAUUUUCUUUUCUAUUCUGAUAAUAGUAAUGUUGAAUACUAAAUUUUUAUGGAUCCAGGAAACCAUGAUAACAUCAAAUAACUAAUGGAAGGAAGUGUGCGGAUGGCAAAGUUAGAGCAGUGAAGCAAAUUCGGUAUAGUUGUUGUUUUAGAAGUAUACUAACAUGACUUAUAUUGUUCGUAGAAAAAAUGUGGAAUAUUGCAUAUAUAUUUGUAAUUGUAAUUACUAGUUUCUAUUUCUAUAAAUAAAUAAUUGCUUGCUCUAUAAGCCAGAAACUUUCAUUGAAUAUUUAACUAUGUUUUGAGUUUUAAUUGGUGGCCCUCUAGAUAUUUGUUUAGCAUGUGCCUUCUGUUAAGCUCUGGUUUGCAAGAAUGAAGCAAUUUUUGUUGCAAAGAUUUCUGUAACGGUGCAGUUCUUUUUAUCCGUAUUGCAAAGAAGACUUGAUUAGCUUGCUAUUUAAACUGGCCGUCUAUUUUUCUUCUUGUAGUAUGUAAUAUAAAUUAGUUCUCAUUGUAAAUUUUGUAUGCUAUUGGAGUGGCUUCUAAAUAGAUACUGUAGGUAGUUGAGAACAUAUGGUUUUAUGAUGGAUUGGACUCUUUUUAAUUAUUAAAUAGCCUUUUGGUUUGCUUUAUGAGUAUUUGUAGUUUAGUCACUUGUUUUAUUUAUAUUCUUCAGUUUCAGUGCUAAAUUGUAUUCUUUAUGUGAAACUGACUCUAGUAAUGCUAUUUUACAUCCAAAAGUUGAGUGUAAAUUUUAUACCCUACCCAUCGAAGGGUGGGAACAAUCUUUUUUGUAUUUAAAAAAUAGGAUGGUGAUAUGACUAGUGGGAUAGAAUUAACCCGCUCAUUUUGAUGAAAAAAAAUAAAACAUUUAUAAGUGGCAGAAAAAAUGGUUAAAAACGAAUGGAUCUUUUACCUCUGCCAAGAUGGACUGCUCUUUAUGUUCUCCGAUCAGUGACUCCUUUAAGUGUAGUGUGGUAAAAAAUUGUCGAUCUCGAACUGUUGAUCUAUCUAUCUAGAGAGAGAGAGAGAGAGAGAGAGAGAGAGAGUUGGGCUAGAAUACUCUUAAUAGUAUUUGGGCUCUGAUACUAUUAAGUCAUUUUUGAUGAUAGGAUAUCCAAAUCGUCGAUCCAUAUCGUUCAAGUUGAUCUAGAGUGUUUGAACCUUAUAAAAAUUAAGUUUCAUAAUUUUUCGAAAUCAUUUUCUAGUUCAUCAAGUGACUGCAGAAUGCACAGUUGAAAAUGAACAAGCUACUUAAAAUCGAUAAUAGAACUCUCAAAUUCAAGAUCAAGGUUAUUCAUUUGAUCAAGAUAGUUAAAGAAAUUUCGAUUGAAAAUUGAACUAAUUUAGAACGUGCUACACCGUUAAACGAGAAAAUGCAUCAUAUAGACGGUUAAAAUUAUUUAAUUUUGAGAUUACUUGAUCACAAGUAGUUAAUGUCGAAAAAUUACAAAAUUAAAUUUCUAAAAGGUUUAAAUGCUGUAGAUUUACUUGAACGGUAUGGUUCGUCUAUUCGGAUGUCCCAUUAUCCAAAGUGAUGCGAUGGUACCGGAGCCCAAAUACUCUUAAGAGCAUUCUAGUCCAACAUGACAAACAUGACAAUCUUGAAAUAGUCAUUUUCUCUAAAUGUUUAAAGUUAUUAGCUAGAGAGUUGUGUCUUAAAUAUUGGGUUUGAGUUCAAUUUCAAUUAUGUCUUCAGAGCUUUAAUUUGAAAAAUUUAGCCAUUGGAAUUUGUCCCACACAAUCAUUACAUUCUUCACUUAAGAAAACAUCACGUUUGCAUUGUCAUUAUAAUUGAAAGCACAUGAAAAUAUUAGUAGGAUGUUAGGAAGCGCUACUUAGGUUGGUGAGAUAGUGGCAUGGAUUUAAGUGCCAGUUGGCAUGUGUCUUGUCAACUGUGCUGACAAAGCAUUGGCACAACACAACUUUUGUGCCAAUGGCACGAUUCGAAAUCCUUCUUUUGUAAUUUUUUUCAACCAAAUAGGUUUAGCAUUGGUUUCAAAUGAUCUAAUUUUGAUGGAAUGAAGGUGCAGGAAAUUUGAUUUGCAUCAUGCAUACACAAAAUUGAAAUCUCAAUAAAUUUAGCAUUAGUUUUUUAGGGAAUAUAAUUUUCUUCAACUUUUACUCCUUAAUCUAAUGAAUACUUGCACAUUUUAACAUACUUCUCAAAAUUAUUAAUAGUAAAAAAGAAUUCGAUAAUAGCAUAUUUAAGAACAAAUGUGAUAUAUAUUUGUUGAACAAAUAAAAAUCUCAUAUGAAUUUGUGUCGGCACAUGGGUACUGUACCAGCAGCACCGAGGCUAUGCAAAUUUUGUCAUCCUAGCCAGCGCUCAGGCAUGGUCCCGUGUCUCGACACUUAAAACCUUGUAGGGACAUCUUCUUUCAAAUAGAAAAGUUAUGAAAGGAUUCAAUUACUAUGGAGGACAAAUUUCAGGGACUAAAAUUUUUAAAACUCCUGGGGCAUAAUUGUUGUUAUUGAUGUUUUGUAUUAAUUAAUUAGCUUCAAGAAUAUUGUAGGUUUUAGAUGCUAGAUGGUUUUACAAUGUGAGAGUUUUUCUAAUGACUAAAUAGUUGAUGAGCCUGAUUUGGAUCUUUGCUACCACGUGAAACUACCAUAAUCUCUUUUAGGUGUUAUAUGCGUAUUUAGUAUUACUACCAUCAUGCACAUUAACUGAGGUGUUAAGAAUAAUCGUGGUCAUUUCUGAUUGAUUGGUUAUGCAAACGAUGUAUUCUCACAAUAAUAUUACUUGCAAGCAUUUUAUUUGCAUGAUAUAUUUUCAACUUGAUGACUUCUCAUAACUAUUCCAACUGUAGUGGACUUUAUACAUUGGUCAGAGAAAGCUUAUAACUUGCUUAAAUUUUUUUCUGCCGAUCCAGAAAACAGUAGUCACUUCAAAUGGCCAGUGGACUUGCCUGUGUUGAAAAGUUAGAGAGGAGAGAUAUGUUUAGCAGCAGCUGUUGUCUUAAAAGGUAAUGUGGAUAGAACCUAAGCUUUUUGAAUUUUGAAUAGUGAAAGCUUGUCUAUAUAUAUAUGCCCUGCAAUUUUUUGAUCUUCAGGUUAUAUUUUGUUCCAACAUGCAAAUAUUUAGUUGCCCUAUAUAGCCAUGGCCGAAAAUUCAUUAGAUAUCUGAACAAUGUUAUUCGGCAUGUUCUCAUGUCACCUUUGUUUUUUAUGGUUUUGAGGGAUGAUGAAAAUUGGGCAAUUUUUAUUGCAAUCAUAAGUAUGGAAACAACAAACUUCUUUUCUUCUUUACAGACAUUCCGUAAGAUAUAUAAUAGUGUGCUAAAGAGCUUGACAAACUGAUUUUUCUAGAACUAGCCUUUUCUCUUUUUCCUAUUUUUGCUUAAUAGUUUAAUAUAAUUCUAUUCUUAUUGUAAAUUUCUUAUAAUAUUUUAGUGAUUUCUAAGUAAAUACCGUAAAUUGUUGCUGAUAGUUGGUUUAAUGAUUGGAUUCUUGUAUAUUUAGGUCUUGUUUCACAUCACUGCUAAUUUUUUUUAAAUUUUUUGUAAACAUAAGGUUUAUAUAGGGGAAUUAGAUAUAUGUGGAUGUUAUUUUCUAUUCGCGUUAUGAUUAGUUAGAUUGACGUUCAUCUCUUCUAGGUGAUGAUUACUUCCAAGAUUUUAUCUUCUAUAGCCAAAUAAUAUUUUACUUUGAAUGCAAUGAUUGCAAACAAUCGAUCAUUCAUUUAAACAUUCUUUAAUGUGGAACUUUUUUUUUUUUUAAAAUGGUAAUAAUGCCAAAUAAGAUCUUAGUAAAUAUCUUUUGGUUUUGUUUUGUUGGUAUUCUGGAAUUUGCUAAAACAGAUCUGUAAGUUUAGCUAUGGUUCCUCAUGUUCUGUUGUCCACUUACGACAAAUUUUAAAAUCGACAACUAAUAUAUACUCUUUUAGAAAUUGUAUUUCCAUCUAAUCAAUCUUACAUAUAAUGAAAGCCUAUGGAUGUGCUUCUCAAAAGCCAAAAAAAAAAAAAAGUGGAACGUAACAGUGCAUUAUCCCUAUUUUCACUAUGUCAGGUUGCCUAUAAUUUUUUUUUAUAUAUUAUUAAUAAGUUGACAAUGAUAAUACAUAUGGCUUUAAUUGUCUUGUUAGUCUAAAAUACUCACGUAGCACAUACUGUAUGAACCAAUUAAAUUUCUUUAUAUUAUGAAGUCAAGAUUCUCUUGGAUCGAGUUACAGUACACUUUUUUAUGGAAGCAGAUUCCUCCAUUCUUUUUUCACUGUUCAGAAUGAAAAAUUUCCAAACAAAAUGUUUUCUCCUUUUGUAUUGUUUAUUUUAGGUGGCAAUCGCCUAUUUGUACCAACAAAUUUUCACCUUUCAUAUCUACCCAUCAAAAUAUAUGUUCUCAAACAUACCCUGGGAAAAAUCCAAAUCCUUUAUUAUAAACCUUCCAAAUACAGAAAUCUUUCAAUGGUUUAUUUGAGACGAAGGGUAAGUUUCACAAGUUUAUAAUAGUCUCUUAUUUCUUUAAUUAUACUAUACUAAAAUGUACUUAAUGAUUUUGUUUUUUUUGGUAGAUUGAAUUAAAAUUUCCAACCUUUAAAAGAUUUGAUUUUAAUAUCUAACUUUUCAAUUUGUUUGAUUUAAGCUAUUUAAUGGUUCUUCCAGUUUGAAAUUUAGGUAAUCAUUUUGAUGAAUUCUAACCACAUAACCUACAAGAAUAUUAAACUCUAUAUUAAAGUUGAAACCAAAUGCCGUUCCUCCAUCGAGCCACGUAGCCUGAACAUUAAAUACAAUGUGCAUGAACAUUAAAUACAAUGUGCCACGUGUCUCUCUCUCCCUCACAUUCUCUCCCUGUGCAUGAACCAAAACAAUUCAUAUCACAUAGAAUAUUGCCAUGUACUAUUGCUAUCUUGCUAAUCAUUAGGGUGCAUGCAUCCACCUCCCAGCUUUUUCUAUAUAUCUAGCAUUGUUCGCUAUCAAACAAGUGUAUGAAUGUGUAUACUUGUCUCUGCUUAUUUGUUCCUCCCAGCUUUAUCAGUAGUGUUAGAGCAUAUUCUCAACCUUGCUAUAUUUGUUUUGGAAUUAUUUGGGAUAUAUAUCUUCUACUGUUGUUAGGUGAGGUAAAACUAUGUUGCUUUAAACUCUCAUAGAGUGUACUCCUUGAUAGUAUAGGAAUACAAAAUAAAUAAUAUAAAUUUAACAGUAAAUAAUUUUUUAGUAUAUUCCUUGAUAGUAUAGGAAUACGAAACAAAUAAUAUAACUUAACAUUAAACAGAUUGUUUUUUCCAGCAUACUGGAACAAUAACCUUACAUAAACGCUAUACUAAAACUUAAACCAAAUGUCGUCCCUCCAUCGAGCCACGUGAUCUUUCUUUUAUAUGGUUUUCUCUCUCUCCCUCACUUGUUCUCCCUCCCUUUACAUAAAAUAUAUGGUGCAUGAUGGGAAAAAAAUAUAGUACAGAGAAUAUUGCAUUGUACUUUUGCUAUCUAUGUAAUCACGUGGGUUCAUGCAUCCUCCCCCCACUCCAGCAUUCCCUAUAUAUAUGCUGUUCACUACCAAACAUGCGAAUAAAUGUUAAUAUUUGUCUCUACUUACUUGUCUUCCAGCAUCAAUAGUGUUAGAGCAUCUUCUCCAGCUUUCUAUAUAUAUAAACGUUCAGCUUCUAACAUAGUUAUUGGGCCCACCACCCAUUUACUUCCUUAAGGAGUAAGAUUUUUUUUUGGCUGUAUCUACAGAUACAACCAGCUAUAUCCAUCUGUUUGUUUUAGAAUUAUUUGGGUUACAUAUCUGCUACUUUCCUAAGGUAGGGUAAAACUAUGUUGUUGUAUACUCUCAUAGAGUGUAUUCCUUGAUAGUGUAGGAUUACAAAAAAAAAUAAUAGUUAAUUAUUUACAUUCACUAAACAUCUUUAUCUUAAUUGGUUAAAUGAAAGAACAAUAAGCUAACAUAAAUCAAAAUAAAAAAUGUGUGCCUAAUUAUCUUACCGUGCUUUUUAUAUGUCGUUACUUCUUUAUGGAAUGAUAACAUAAACGCUUAAAAAGUAAAUAAUUAAUUGGCUUAUUUGUUUUAACGAUAUGUUGGUGAUGUUGGGUCCCUGGAUUUUUUGAAUUUAAUACUGGACAUAUAUAAAUUUUCAGUCUUUACAGGUGUAUUUUUAAACUAUUUAAUAAUGUGUGUAAUUAAUUACAGGCUUCUCGUCUUUGUUCGUUAGAUGCAUCCUAUUUUUCUUUACUCCCUUAAUUAAAAUUAAUUAGUAAUUGUUUAUGAAAAUUACGAUUGCCUCCAGAGUUUUUUUUCCCUUGCUUCAUAUUUCUAUUUCGAUGACUUUCUUUAAAACUAUAAGGAAGUGUCUUAUUAUUUUUAUCAAUAUAUGUUUCAUGUGGGGAAAAAAAAACCAGGACUUUAAUGUAUUUGGAAUUAUGAUUUUCAUUACUCUUCGUCUUUUUUUUUUUGAUUCCUAUCUUUCUUGAGCAUGUAUACAUGCAGAUUCUUUACUAGUUAAUUAUUUACCUCCUCUAGGCACCUUUAUUUUAAUUGGCUAAAUUAAAGAUCAGUUCUAACAAUUUCAUACUAAGUUUCUUUAUCUUACCGUACUUUUUAUAUUUCGUUAGUUCAUUAUGGAGUGAUAACAUAAAUUGUUAAAAAGUAAAUAAUUAAAUGACUUAUUUGUUUUAAGGAUAUGUUGGUGAUGUUGGGUUCCUUACUUUUUUUUAUUAAUGGUGGACAUAUAUAGAGAUUUGUCUCAGUACUUAAAUUUUUAAUCUACGGCUAUUGAGCAAUGCAUGUAAAGAUGUUAGAAAGUUUCUCUAGACAAUAGCAUUGGAGGGCUGGGAUUAAAAAAACUAAUGCAUUAAUUAUACUAGAUUCAUAACAUAAGUCUUAUGUUUUAUCAUACAUUAAUUAUUUUGCAUUUGGUCAUUCUAUACCUUAGCUUAAAAUGAUUAUCUCGUCUUUUUUAUAUCAUUCUUGAACGUUUAAAGGACAAUGGCGGCCCUACCAGUAUAAUAUAAGCAAUUGUUUACCGACAUACUUGGGGUUCUUGCCUUUCCUCUUCCUAAUUACGGCGCAAUGUUCGGUUCUGAUAGCUUGUAUGUGGGAUGUGCUGAAAUAAAAGUUGAAAAUAUUGAUGGAAUUGAAGAGGUUUUUAAGUGGUUUGGUCAGAAAUGCAUUAAUGUUGAGUUAGCAGAGGAAAAAGCCGCUCAUGAAGCAAUUAUGUGCUUGAAGAAAGCACUUAAUUUCGAUAUUGCUGAUAUUAACUAUGAUGACUUAAUGGUUUAUAAAUCUUUAUACGAACAGUUGUGUGCCAACCACAACCAACUCCAGUCCGACUACUAUUUUCUAAAAGAAUGUUACAGUUAUACUCUCAGCGAGGUUAGGUGCCUUCAAAAUGAGAAUACGUGGCUGGGACAACAAGCCGACCACGCUGCAGAGUUGCUGUGGCCCACUACAAUUAAUAAUCAUCUGCAUCCUUCAGUUGUAAUCUUUAAAGUCUUUUGUAGCAUGAAUUUCGCAGUCUCCCUUUAGUUGUAUAAAAAUGUCAUGACGUUUCGUUUCCUUCUUUCAAUGUCUUGUAUUUUGUUGUUUUUGAUACUGUAGUAUAAUUUGUCUGUCUGAUAGUGCCGUGACGUGUCGUUUCCUUCCUUCAACGUCUUGUAUUUUGUUGUUUCUAGUACUGUAUUGUAAUUUGUCUGUCUGAUACUCUGAGUUUUCUAAUAGUCAUUAAGAUUUGUGCGCUUGAGGGUAGGAGACUGUAUAACGGUANNNNNNNNNNNNNNNNNNNNNNNNNNNNNNNNNNNNNNNNNNNNNNNNNNNNNNNNNNNNNNNNNNNNNNNNNNNNNNNNNNNNNNNNNNNNNNNNNNNNNNNNNNNNNNNNNNNNNNNNNNNNNNNNNNNNNNNNNNNNNNNNNNNNNNNNNNNNNNNNNNNNNNNNNNNNNNNNNNNNNNNNNNNNNNNNNNNNNNNNNNNNNNNNNNNNNNNNNNNNNNNNNNNNNNNNNNNNNNNNNNNNNNNNNNNNNNNNNNNNNNNNNNNNNNNNNNNNNNNNNNNNNNNNNNNNNNNNNNNNNNNNNNNNNNNNNNNNNNNNNNNNNNNNNNNNNNNNNNNNNNNNNNNNNNNNNNNNNNNNNNNNNNNNNNNNNNNNNNNNNNNNNNNNNNNNNNNNNNNNNNNNNNNNNNNNNNNNNNNNNNNNNNNNNNNNNNNNNNNNNNNNNNNNNNNNNNNNNNNNNNNNNNNNNNNNNNNNNNNNNNNNNNNNNNNNNNNNNNNNNNNNNNNNNNNNNNNNNNNNNNNNNNNNNNNNNNNNNNNNNNNNNNNNNNNNNNNNNNNNNNNNNNNNNNNNNNNNNNNNNNNNNNNNNNNNNNNNNNNNNNNNNNNNNNNNNNNNNNNNNNNNNNNNNNNNNNNNNNUCUUAAAAUACACAGUUGGAAAGGUUAUGGUGUAUUAUUUACGUUACUUUAAAUUAUUCAACACCAACCAUUUUUUUUAUAGUUAAUAGUAGAAUGAUUUAAUUUUUACUAUAUAUGUACUAAUUAUCAAAUUUAGGAGACUAUAUAUACAUAUGCAUGAAGUGUGCCAGAAGCAAUUACUUCUCCACUUGGAGCUCUUUUAACGGGCAAAAAUUUAGUGGACACAGUGUCGCAACAAUGCUAUUUGGGGACUCUCCGGAUGGGCGCUGCGUGGCGAGCACGCACCGAUCUCGAAGUCUUUUUUUUUUUUUUAGGCAUUUACAAACAGGCCGUUUCGGAGAUUUCGGAUUUGGAUGCGAACCGUUAAAAGGCGUAAACGGGAAGACAGGGGAGACCCCAGUUGGGGGAGUAGGGCAUUCUCAGGCUUGGAUUUGACUUAACUGGACGCUGGUGCUGUUCAUCGUGUUGUUUCGCGGAUUCCUCAGGUCUUCAGCCUCGGCCGUUCUGUAGUACUGCCCUGCCGAUCUCGAGUCUACGACGACUGCGGCCGGCAGAUUCGUGGGGUGGAAUCAAGAUUUGGAAAAGGAGAGUUCCGGAAAGAUGAAGUGGGUGCAGAAGAAGUAAUGGAUUUGCUACAACUGCAACGAUGGAAAACGGUUUCUCCACGGAUCGCCACCGGAGUGCACAUUACAUUACAUUAAAGUGAUCAACUAAUUAAUUAGAGUCAGAAGCUCAAGCUCACGUUAUUGGAAAUGAUUUUUUUUUUCAGCUUUUUUUUUAAAAUUCUUUUUUUUUUUUCUGGAGCAGUGUUGAUCAAAGUUUACAGUUGUAAGUGCAGCUUUUGUUGAUCAAAGUUUACAGUUGUAAGUACAGCUUUUAGCGCUACAACAUUGAUUGAAUUCUUUAUUUUUUUUUAUUUAUAAUAUUCUGGUCAACACUGAUCACUCAUAUAUAUAUAUAUAUAUAUAUAUAUAUAUAUAUAUAUAUAUAUAUAUAUAUAUAUAUAUAUGGUUAUUUAAAUGUGGAAGUACACAUGGGGAUCGAUGUAUGAUUACGUGGACCUGACCAGUCAAUGAGCUCCUGUACAUAGGAAUUGUUUAAGUGGACCAUCUUCGCCACGUCAGCUGUGGACUGCCAGAGGGGGGACAUGAUACUAUAUGGUACCAUUUGGUUCGGGAACAAGGAGGAGAAUAAGCCCUUAUCCCCCCUUUGUUCCCAAACGCAGCGUUUGGUAACCGAGAACAGUAGCUCCCGGAUUUCUGAAACUAGCUGGUAUAACACUGGAACUAGCUGGAACUGCUGUUCUACCUUUUUCUUGGAACAAGCUUGUUCCUGAAUGAGAACAAGGUUAAUUAAAUAUAAAUUUAAAAUUUAAUGAUAGUAAAUUAUUAAUUAAUCUAACUAAUAUAUUUGAAUUAUUAUCUAUUGCUUAAAUAAUAAAAUAAAUAAAUAAAUAAUCAAUUAUAAUUAAUUAUUUAUAAUUAGAUAAUAAUAAUUAUUAAUUUAAUAAUUAUUAUUUAUUAAUAAUUAUUAAUUAAAUAAUUAUUAUUAAUAAUUAUUAUUCUUAAGAAAUAGAUAAUCGAUAUUAUUAAUAAUUUAUUAUUUAUAAUUAAUUAUUAAUAAUUAGAUAAUUAUUAUUAAUUAAUUUAUUACUUAUAAUUAAUUAUUAAUAUUAUUAUUUAAUUAUUAAUUAAUAAUAAAAUAAAAUAAUUAUUCUUAUUAAUUAGAUAAUCGAUAUUAUUAGUAAUUUAUUAUUAAUAAUUAAUAAUUAAAUAAUUAUUAUUAUUUAUUAAUAAUGAUUUAUAAUUAAUUAUUAAUAAUUAGAUAAUUAUUAUUAAUUAAUUUAUUACUUAUAAAUAAUUAUUANNNNNNNNNNNNNNNNNNNNNNNNNCGCGCCGCGACUUUUUUUUUUUUGCUUUUUUUCUUUUCUUUUCUUCUCCGACUCUUCUCCACCGUCUCCGACGACGACGCCUCUCGUCCUUCCCCGCCCUUCUCAUCUCUCCCUUUCCCCCAUUUUCUGCCGCCUCCAACGACGAUUUAUCUUCGCCGGCGCCGACAUCGACACCGUAGAGGUCACUGCGGCACUACAACCUCGGAGCGGGGGGUCCUUAGCGGCGUUGUCACCGGCGCCGUAGCUGUUGGCAGAGAAGGUGAUAAAAAAAAUUAUAGAAAAAACAGAAAAAAAGUAAAGAUAAAAAAUUAUAUAAAAAGAAGGAUGAAAAUGAAAUUGCAUCGUUAAUUACAAAAAAAAUUAUAAGUUGCACUAUUUAAGAUGUAAACUGCUGCUUUAAGAUAAAAAUUAUACUCUUUGAACAAAAAUUACGCUCUUUGGGAGAUGUUUACACUGUUUCUAUUCUUAUUGCACUCUUUCAGAUGUAAACUGUAAUCAUUAAGAUGAAAAUUACACUCUUGAAACGAAAGUUGCACUGUUUUUCUCUUGUUGUACUAUUUUUUAUCUUAAACUGCAUCCUUUUAAGUGAUAUUUAUACUGUUUCUCCUCUUGUUGCACUGUUUUUCCUUUUGUUGCACUAUUUCUCCUCUUGUUUUUACAGAAAAUGGUGCAACAAGAGGAGAAACAGUAUAAAUAUCUCUUAAAAGGGUGCAGUUUAAGAUAAAAAAUAGUGUAACAAGAGGAGAAAUGGUGCAACAAGAGGAGAAACAGUGCAACUUUUGUUUAAAGAGUGUAACUUUCAUCUUAAUGGAUGCAGUUUACAUCUGAAAGAGUGUAAUAAGAAGAGAAACAGUGUAAAUAUUUCUCAAAGAGUGUAAUUUUCGUUUAAAGAGUGUAGUUUUCAUCUUAAAGCUGCAGUUUACAUCUUAAAUAGUGCAACUUAUAAUUUUUUUUGCAGUUAACGAUACAAUUUGAUGUUCAUCCUUCUUUUUAUAUAAUUUUUUAUCUUUAUUUUUUUUUCUGUUUUUUCUAUAAUUUUUUUUUGUCACCUUCUCUGCCAACAGCCACGGUGCCGGCGACGACACCGCUAAGGACCCCCGCUCCGAGCCUGUAGCGCCGCAGUGACCUCCACGGUGUCGACGUCGGCGCCGGCGAAGAUGCAUCGUCGUCGGAGGCGGCAGAGAAUGAGGAAGAGGGAGAGAUGAGAAGGGCGGGAAAGGACGAGAAAGACGAGAGAGGCAUCGUCGUAAGAGACGGUGGAGAAGAGUCGGAGAAGAAAAGAAAAGAAAAAAGCAAAAAAAAACAAAAAAAAAGUCGUGGCGCGGCCUUAGCGGGGUUGGAGGCGAGGAAGGUGGGGGGUGCGUGGACGAGGGCAAGGGCGAGGGCGAGGGCGAGAGAAUGAGAGUGAGAGGCGAGACAGACCGUUUCUGCCUCCGCUCUGCCGGCGAGAAAAAAAAAAAGAACGAGAGGAAUGAAGAGGAGAGAGAAAGAGGAAAGAGAAAAAAUAAAAAGGAUAUUUUGGUCAGUUUGCUGAAAAAGCGGACCGAGUCUGGAAAAACGAAAAAAUGGCCAAAUUUUGCAAAAGCCCAAAAUAAGUGGAUUUUUUAUGCAAAUUGGCCAUAAAUAAAAGCACGUAUUUUAAAUUUCGCGACAGAUCCAUUUUUUGGCGGGAUAAAAAUUAAUUCAUCUUUCCUUACGUAAAAUAAAUAACAAAAUUAAACAAACUUUUAUUUCCUCUUUAUUUCUAUAACAGAAAAAAAUUUAUAUUUAUCCAAAUUUUUGCCAAUCGGAGAAUAUCUACUGUGAAUUUUUAUUUAAUUCUUCUUUAUCUCUAUCUGUAAUAUAAUAUCUAUACUUAUAUUAUCUAUCUAUAUCUAUAUCAUCUAUACUAUUUAAAAUAAAUUAAAAUAAUUAUUACGUACAUUUACACGUACGCUCAACUAAUAUAUAUAUAUAUAUAUAUAUAUAUAUAUAUAUACAUGCACACCUAGAGAGUAUGUAUCCAAUAAAGCCUUGAAAAUUAAUUUAAAGUUAUGGGGUUAGAAUAAUAGCGGUUCCCUACCUAGGGUUUAGUGGUGGUUGGUUGAAUAGUAUAAUCUAAAGGGUUGAUGAUGUAUUAUAGACUAACAAAUUAUAGUAAGAAAAAAAAGUUUUUUUUUCCAGUGUAAUAAUUUAUAUUAAAUUAUUGGUUAAAAAAUUAAAGAUGGCAAUGAUAUCAAAUGUGAUCUUAAUUUUUAGAUUUGUGCGGUCUCUUUUUAUCUGGAUGUAUUCAAUUUGAUCACCGUACCUUCAACUAGAUUUGGAGAGCCCNAUAUAUAUAUAUAUAUAUAUAGAGAGAGAGAGAGAGAGAGAGAGAGAGAGUAUGUAGCUGUAGUAUUUUUAAAAACACUAAAUACUUGGUACUUACAAAUUUUUCAUCACUUAACUUAUCCCUUUGAUUAAUUAUAUCCCUUAGAUUAUGUUAUUUCAUAAACCUAUUUUUAUCUAAAAGUCGAAAAAUCUUGAAGCACCAAUAAUUUAUUUAUUUAUUUUUUUGAGAGAUAGAUAACACGCUACCCGCUUCGUUUAUUUCAUUCAGAAAUAAACUUAGCUAGAAAUGUGAAGCAGCUAGGAUUCGAACUUGAGACAUCGAGUACCAACCACCAAACCCUUUACCACUUGCUCUAGGGACGGUCGGUAAUAAUUUAAUAUUUUUAAAAGCAUAUGAACUCAAUUACAUACAUAUGAAAAUUAGUAGCUCUGUUCCAAAUUAGUCUUAGUGUUGGGAAUCUGGUACUCACCUUGAUACCAGAUUUUAUACCAGAUUUUGAAAAUCGGUAAUCCGCUCCGAUAUCGAAUGCUGUAAAUUUGAUAUCAUUUAUUGAGAUUCCGCAACGAAAGCAUAAAAUUAAAUUUUUAACGUAAAUCCUACUCCUUGGCAAAAAUCUAGCACAACCACAAAAGAAAGAAAAACCAAAAAUAAAGAAUACAGAUAAAAUAAGAUUCACUAAAUAAGAGAAGAAUUACAUCUAAGUAUCUAACUACUCUUUUAUAUAAAAUAGUUUCAACUCGAGCCCUCUUUCUGAAUCUCUCUCACCCUCUUCUCGUCUUCUAUAAUUCAAAAGAAGACUUCUCUCCCAUCUUAUUCACCCAUGUAUAAGAUAUACUAAUGAUCCACAACCACGAAAAUUGCACACGUCCUCUCCUCUUACACCAAUGUACUAGAUGCAUCCAAAUCAUGACCACUUUGGCCAUGCUAUAUGGAUGUGGCUAAGUCGUACACUCGUACUGCCACCGCCACCGCCACCAAAAUAAAAGCACUCAUGUUAUAUUUACAGCUUACAUCAAAAGUUAUUCAAAUAUUCGUCUAAUUAGAUUUCUACUUUUGUUAAUACUUAAAUCUUAAUUAAUUUAUCUUUAACAGAUUUAAAUAUUAUUCUAAAUCCAACAAAGAUUCAAUUUCAAAUCUAACUAAAUUCUAAUAUAUAAUAUGCUAGCGCUUCUUAACCUUUUUGUUUAAGCUUUUGAAUUGACUCAAACCCUUGGGAAAAAAAAGAAAAGGUUAUUAACAUUAUAGCUUGUACCAGCUUAGAAAGUAACUCAAAAUAAAUCGUGAAAGGCUACGACCAACGAAAAAAUGAACUAAGAAAAAACUCCAUCAUAAGUUAAAAAAAGUUAAUACAUUUAUAAGUUAUGUUAAAUAAGUACUCUUAAUAAUACGGCCAAUUUGCAUAAAAAAUCCACUUAUUUUGGAGUUUUGCAAAACGGGGUCACCUUUUUCGUUUUUGCAGAUUCGGUCCGCUUUUUCCGCCGCCUUACCAAAAUGCCCCUCCUAUACAAUAUCCUCCCGCGUAUUUCUUGACAUACGUAUACUAUCCUACUACCCUGCCGUACGGUCUGGCGCGCAUUAAAUGAGCCGCUUCCGCCUUACGCAAUCUCGCUCAUUUCUCGGAACCCGGACCACAUCCGCCCCCGCUAUUCGCCGGCCCCGCUGUUUCCUGUUCGGCUUUAAAACUUUACGAAAUUUUCUAAAGCUAUUAAGAAAUACUGCGCGCCCCGCAACAGGGAUAAUAGUGCAACGCGAAGGAGCUACGAAAGGAGAAAUGGUGCAACCCCCUCUAUAACAGUGCAUCCGUAGCCUCGUGCCAGUGCAACCAAUCCAUAACAGUCAAAAUCUUACUUAUUUUAUUUCUUAAUGUAAUCUUAAGCUAAUAGUGCAAAUGAAAGGGCAUGGUGACGUCGAAUAUAGCGGUGUGGAGUAGUCGGAGGCUCCACCACCUUUUUAUUGCCGCCGCCACCGUGGCGCUAUCCGCCCCCGCUAUUCGCCGGCCCCGCUGUUUCUUGUUCGGCUUUAAGACUUUACGAAAUUUUCUAAAGCUAUUGAGAAAUACUGCGCGCCUCGCAACAGGGAUAAUAGUACAACGCGAAGGAGUUACGAAAGGAGAAAUGGUGCAACCCCAUCUAUAACAGUUCAUCCGUAGCCUCGUGCCAGUGCAACAAAUCCAUAACAGUCAAAAUUUUUCUUAUUUUAUUUCUUAAUGUAAUCUUAAGCUAAUAGUGUAAAUAAAAGGGCAUGGUGACGUCGAAUAUAGCGGUGUGGAGUAGGAGGAGGCUCCACCACCUCUUAUUGCCGCCGCCGCCGUGGCGCUAUACCUCCGCGCGCCAGGGAUAAUAGUGCAAGGCGAAGGCUCUACGGCAGGAGUAAUGGUGGAACGAACCUUCUAACAUGCAACCGUAGUCUCGUUCCAGUGCAACCUCUCCAUAAGCAGGCAAAAUUUUACUUAUUUUAUUUCAUAAUGUAAUGUUAAUCUAAUAGUGCAAAUGAAAGGACAUGGGGGCCGUCGAUAAUACCGGGCAACCUAGCUAGCAUGUGAAGGCUAGCUCGGAGGAGGAGGAGGAUCGUCAGAGGAAGCCGUCAGAGGAAGCCGGUUAUGGACAAACGCAACCGAUACACUAGCACCUUAACGUCUAUUUGAAGCUAUUAAUGUAUUAGUUAGAAUACUUCUCUAACAAUAUCAACUACAUUAUCUUCCAACGUAACACUAUUUUAGGACAAACAUAAAAUAAUUCAUGAUAUUUUAGCACAUUAGCCGAAUUGUCUAUUACAUUAAGAACAAGUGUCUAAUUACAUGAGGAAUGCUUAAACAAGGUGAUAAAUGUUCAAUGAGAAAAAAUAGUUUGUAACAACGUGACAAAUGAAGUAUAAUAUUAUAAUUAAAGUCUGAUAAAACGUGAUAAUACAAGUACUAUAGUGGAUCGGAUCCUUUGCAAUUAUUCCUUAACGUGAUAAUAAAAACCGCGCGCCUCCAUAUCGCGGUGCCGCCGCCUCCGUUAUUUCUCCACCACCUCGGCGGGGGAUGAGGUGUGGCGAUAUAAGCUGCAGUGGUAUAGGAAAGUAAACGUGAUAAUCGAAUUCUAAUGUAAUUCUUUAUUUUAUUCAUUUUAAAACUGACAAUACCUAACCAACGUGACCUUGGUCCGAUGCCUACGUGACAAUAUCUCCCGCCAACGUGGUAAAGAGGAAAGCAUCGAGGAAGCGCAACGUGAUAAUAUCCUUUUGAGGUAACAUCCAAACUGAUAUAAUUGAGGAAAGCAUCGAGGAUAUUUUCUUGCGGGCUAACUAAGCAUCGAGGAAGCGCAACGUGACAAAUGAAGUAUAAUAUUAUAAUUAAAGUCUGAAAAAACGUGAAAAUACAAGUACAAUAGUGGAACGGACCCUUUGUAAUUUCUCCAGCACCUCGGAGGAGGGUGAGGCGNAAACCUUCUAACAUGCAACCGUAGCGUCGUUCCAGUGCAAGGAGAAUGCUAGGAGGAGGAGGGUCGAUCGGAGGUUAAGAUCCAGCAACGAGGCGAUCAGAAAAAACGAUCCAGCAACGAGGCGUUAAGGUUGAUUCGCACUAUCUGGAAUGUUUCAUUUGCUUUGGGCAAUUUGGAGCUCCGCUCUACCAUGAAACAGACAGUACAGACGGAAAAUAUUAGAAUCCAACGAUAAGAAUAAAUAUCUGCAAGAAAUUAAGAAACUGUAUGACAGGAGGGCCAAUGGGCUCCUAGCAAAUAAAACACUCCAGAUAAUGCGAAUCUUCUCUACGUAAAGGCGAGGAGGUUAAAGCAAGACCAAUAUUUGAGAACGAGUCGAAGGCGACGAACGGCCUUCCUCGUAAGAGGGGAAGCGCUGCUGCAGAGGGGAAGCGCUGCGCUUCCUCUUACCGGGAAUGCCGUUGUCGUCUUCACUUCUUUCACGAACACCACUGUCUCCGUAAUGGGGAAUGCAUCUGAAGAACCGAUAUUUAAACAAAACGAAUCGUCACCUCACCAACCCACCGGUGCCUCUUCGGCUGACCUAAUAAAUUAUAAACCUGAUAGCAAACACUAACGUGUACAUUAUAGCGUCUCUUCGGUGCUCGAAGAGACACCGGUGGGUAUAUCGAAACUGUCUCGAGAAGAUAAACCCACUAUUCAGAAGCCGUGUUGAAUUAGCCUCUGUGCGCCGGUGAUAAUAGUGCAACGGAAAUGUUAUACUGCAGUAGAAUGGUGCAAUUAUCUCUAUAACAGUGCAUCCUUUGUUUGGUUUUAGUACAACCACACUAAACCAGUAAAAAUUUUGAGAUCCUCGUUACACUAUUUUUUAAAUAUGUUGAACUGUUAUCCUCUAUUUUAUACUAUUACAAAAAUUUACAUAUUCAAAUUAUCUAUAUGUUCACUAUUAACAUUAGCCUUGAAUUAUUAUAAUAAGACGUAUGGAUUUUCCGAUAUUUCCUGCGGUGUGCCCGCGGAUGUCGUCGUGGAUGGCUAGUUUGCUCUAGGCACAGGAGGGUUUUUGCAUGACCUUUUGUUGUGCCCCCAUCUCUGGCAAUUCCGGCACCGCUUCUUUAUUAAGCUGUUAGCAAUAGACUCUCGUCGCGAAACCUUUCUUCUGCCCGGUUGUAUGCGGACGUUUGGCGGCCGCAGCGGAACAACGUUACUUGGUAUUGCAGGCCAUUGCUCUUUGCCUCUGGUGGGGGGGACGCAAUCGUUGUAGGUUGCACGAUAAGUCGAGGUCUUAAGCCAGUCCUCGACAAAAUCAUACUGUCACGCCCCGGAUUACACGUUCCCCGGGCACGCCGACAAAUCCGCCGUAUACAAAGAAAUUUUCCCUGUAUACGAAGCGAUAGCUGUACCUGUAAAUCAAACACUACUACGAACAGUAGUAGAGAGCUGCUAGAGAAAACAGAAGCUAAAUAAAACAGAGUUUCAUAUACAUAGUUCAGAUCCAAAAUACAGAGCUACUCGCACUGGCGAGUUAAGUCAACUAUGUACAUAAACUCGAAACAAAACAUCUACCUGCAGUAGGGCACCUCUAGCUCAGCACGUCGGGUAGGGCUCUAACUCGCGACGCCCUUGCCUCGAUCCUGAUCCACGGACGGUGCAGCAGCCGGAACCUGUGGCUAUGCAAAAACAUAGGUAACAACUGGGCGUGAGAACUACUGUAAAAACAAAUAAUCCUCAGUGGGUACCGCCCAAAACAACAUCGGUCACCCACUAAGUCUACAGAAGGGAGCAAGGAUAGUAGGAAAAGCAGGAAGUACACUCUACCGCUAUCAAUCACUACACUAUCAUGCUCUACACUAACCAACUGUAGGAAAAGUCAAGUCUGACCCAAUCCAAAUCGGGACUGUAAGCAUACCCGUCCCCGGGACUGUGAAUACACCCGUCCCUGCCCCGUUACGACUAUCGGGCUCUAUCCACUCUAACUGGUCCGUGGAGAGCAAGUCCAACUGGCAUGAGCGACACCAACGCAAAAGCACAAGCCUGACUCCGGAGUGGCACUCGUGGGCGCUACCCAACCGAGUAUGCAGCGUAUAUCUGUCGAGCUCAAUCAGGCUCCAACUAGCCAAAGUCAAGUAAUCGACUCAAACUGGUCUAACAACCAAUCAGGUAACGUGCCCUCGGCACAAUCUGACGCCAAAAAGGUGAUACGGGUCCACCGUCGACUCUGACGGCACCCAACUGUCCGAAACGACCUGAACGACCCUGUAAAAAUCCACUCGGCGAACCAGCACGAGUGUAAAUACAUUCUAAACUACCUGGAGUACUCGUCUCGAAGAAACUGUGACAGUACAAUUUUCUAACGGCUCCUAGAGCUAAAUCAGGUAGUUAAAACUGGUGACAGGUCCAAAUCGCAGGUUUUCUCCUAAUUCAAUUUCCAAGUCCAACAUGUAUAAUCUACUUAAUUUAUAAAUCAUGCUCAAAAAUCCAGAUUUCACAAUCUACAUAUAGUCCAUGAAUUUGAGCUAACACAAUUUACCGAAACCACGAUUUAUACAUGUCGACUAAUAACACUUAGGAGUAAAAACUGAUGUAACCCACCUCGAAAGCUAUCCCCUGGCAGCGAACGAAGCCUCGAACCAGGACAACCUCUGCUGGAUCAACUAGGGACCUCCAAGUCCGGUGGACGAGCUAACGCCAAGCUAAACAAUUAAGGAUCCUCAAUUCAGUCCAGAAAUUCACAAUAGCUGAGUAGAAACGGGAUUCGACCGAGCUAACCUUCACCAAAUCUGGCAAAUGAGGGCUUCGUGGAUUCCUCUCGAAGUCCCGAAUCCAACGAACUAAGCCUCGUCGUGAUCCGACGUUCCUACGCGGAGAACGAGCUGAAAUACGAACAGUCGACGGCGAAUUUCAGCAAAACAGCUACUAACCGAGUAGAAAUAGUAACACUUGCCCAAAAUCCAGAAAAGACGCCGAAUCACCCACCUCGACAGCGUCGAACCUCGGCGCGACGUCAAGAACAGUGAAGACGCUCCCUCGCCCGGCCUCCUCGCAAAGCUCCGGCAGCAAGUGCGCUCGAACGGCUCGCGGCGCGACGUCGACGACGAAAUCCCCAACCGGACUCUCCACCAACACCUAGAGAGAGAGAGGAGAAGAAGA
rnacentral:lncRNA from 1 species